rnacentral:rRNA from 1 species
GAUCAUGGCUCAGGAUGAACGCUGGCGGCGUGCCUAACACAUGCAAGUCGAACGAGAUGCGUAUCGGAAAGCUUCGGCCGGAAGAUAUGUUAUCUAGUGGCGGACGGGUGAGUAACACGUGGGUAACCUGCCUUAUGGAGGGGGAUAACAGAGAGAAAUCACUGCUAAUACCGCAUAAGCACACAGUACCGCAUGGUAGAGUGUGAAAAGAUUUAUCGCCAUAAGAUGGACCCG